rnacentral:rRNA from 1 species
UACGGAGGAUGCAAGCGUUAUCCGGAUUUAUUGGGUUUAAAGGGUGCGUAGGCGGUUCGGUAAGUCAGUGGUGAAAGUUUACUGCUUAACAGUAAAAAUGCCAUUGAUACUGUCGGGCUAGAAUAUGGUUGCUGUGGGUGGAAUGUGUGGUGUAGCGGUGAAAUGCUUAGAUAUCACACAGAAUAUCGAUUGCGAAGGCAGCUCACAAAGCCAUUAUUGACGCUGAGGCACGAAAGUGUGGGGAUCAAACAGGAUUAGAUACCCUGGUAGUCCACACUGUAAACGAUGAUAACUCGCUGUCGGCGAUACACAGUCGGUGGCCAAGCGAAAGCGAUAAGUUAUCCACCUGGGGAGUACGACCGCAAGGUUGAAACUCAAAGGAAUUGACGGGGGCCCGCACAAGCGGAGGAACAUGUGGUUUAAUUCGAUGAUACGCGAGGAACCUUACCCGGGCUCGAACGGUACAGGAAUAUGGUAGAGAUAUCAUAGCUAGCAAUAGUCUGUAUCGAGGUGCUGCAUGGUUGUCGUCAGCUCGUGCCGUGAGGUGUCGGCUUAAGUGCCAUAACGAGCGCAACCCUUGUCGUUAGUUACCAUCAGGUCAAGCUGGGGACUCUAACGAGACUGCCACCGUAAGGUGUGAGGAAGGGGGGGAUGACGUCAAAUCAGCACGGCCCUUACGUCCGGGGCGACACACGUGUUACAAUGGUAGGUACAGAGGGCAGCUACCCAGCGAUGGGAUGCGAAUCUCUAAAGCCUAUCUCAGUUCGGAUUGGAGUCUGCAACUCGACUCCAUGAAGUUGGAUUCGCUAGUAAUCGCGCAUCAGCCAUGGCGCGGUGAAUACGUUCCCGGGCCU